GAAGUGGAUUAAAUGAUCGCUCGCCGGUUCCGGCGAGAGGAAAGUCCGAGCUCCACAGGGCAGGAUGCUGGGUAACGCCCAGUCUUGGUAACGAGAAGGAAAGUGCCACAGAAAAGAUACCGCCCCAUAUCGAGUGGCGAGUGACGACUAAAACCCCUUAAGGUUUUACUCCGAUCUCCGAACUUAAUAUCGGGGUAAGGGUGAAAUGGCGGGGUAAGAGCCCACCAGUAUCCCGGGUGACCGGGGUAGCUUGGUAAACCCCAUCCGGAGCAAGACCAAAUAGGAGGGCGAAAGGGGUGGCCCGCCCCGGACCCUCGGGUUGGUCGCUUGAGGCCGGGAGCAAUCCCGGUCCUAAGAUGAAUGAUCAUUGUCUCCGCUUUCAGGCGGGGAAACAGAACUCGGCUUACAAUCCACUUCCACG
rnacentral:RNase_P_RNA from 2 species